rnacentral:lncRNA from 10 species
UGGGUUGGGAGAAGAUGUUGUCAUUAAUUAUAUUACCUGAACAAAGUAUAUUGAUAUAUCUGUGUUUGUGCAUCUAAUUGCUUUAUUUAAUGCUUUAUUUAAUCCUCUUUUAGCAAGGAAUUUACAAUAGAAAGGAUUGUCUUUUGCAAAUUUCUCAGAAAGCACUAGAAUCAGUGUGUUUAAUAAGUAGAUUACUAACAAUUAUCUAUAAA